CAUAAGUCUAGAGAUAGGUAUAUCCAGGGUUGCUUAACUCAGAAAAUCAGUGGCAUUGGGUUUUCAGAUACUUUUCUAGUUUUUUUGGGUUUGUGGCUCUCCUCUCUGAUCACUAUAUUAAGUUGAAAAACUUUCUCCCAAAAGUUAUCCAUGUCCUAAUCUCUAGAACCUGUGACUAUUACUUUAUAUAAGAAAAAAGGUUGUUUGCAGAUAUGAUUGGAUUAAGGAGCUUGAGGUGGGGUAAUUAUCCUGGAUUGUUAGGGUAGACCCUAGAUGGAAUCUCACAUAUCCCUAUAUGAAGAGGGCAAAAGGAUAUUUGAUAACACGCAGAGGAGGAGAUGAAAAGACAGAGCAGGAGAGAUUUGAAGAUGCUGGCCUUAAAAAUGGGCAUAAUAGGGUCAUAAGCCUGGAAAUGCUGACAGCCACCAGAAGCUGGAAGAGACAAAGAUUCUCCCCCAGAGCAUCCAGAGGAAACAAGACCUUGCUGACACCUUGAUUUUGGCCCGAUUAUACUAAUUUUGGACUUCUGAUCUCUGAAAUUGAGAGAGAGUAAUGUUUCGUUGUUUUAGGGCUGCAAGAUUGUGGUAAUUUGUUAACGGCAGUCACAAAACGGCUGCCACAAAUUCAGGUAACACUUCCUCCUACAGCUGAUUCUGGAAGAAGAGAGGCUCUCCGCCACUGCCAUUGAAUGGGGCUCUGCAAGAUGUCACUGCACUGCCCUCAGCUCCUUCAUCCCAGUCCCUGGAAAUUCCUUUCCGCUUCAUGCAAUGGAUGAGCUCCUUGUAUUAGACUUCAUAGUCAAGAAAUAAAGUUCUCCUCGUUAUGGGGAAGCUGUGAUUUGAGAUGAGGAUGAUUUGUCACUGGAAAGGAGGUGAGUGGGAAAUAAGAUCAAUACCUUCCUUGGAUUCACUUUUACUUCUAUCUGUUUUCUACAGACCUGGAUUUUCACUGAAAUUAUUUUAGUAGCUGCAGCAGCCCAAUCUACACCAGCCUGACUUGGAUUAUUUCCAAAGUUUCUUGUGCCCAGCAGAGUUAAAGAUUGCAUCUCUCUC
rnacentral:lncRNA from 1 species